AUUGAACGCUGGCGGAAUGCUUUACACAUGCAAGUCGAACGGGACUUAGGGGCUUGCUCCUAAGUUUAGUGGCGGACGGGUGAGUAAUGUAUCGGAACGUAUCCAUUAAUGGGGGAUAACUAACCGAAAGGUUGGCUAAUACCGCAUACGCCCUACGGGGGAAAGCUGGGGAUCUUCGGACCUGGCGUUAAUGGAGCGGCCGAUAUCUGAUUAGCUAGUUGGUGGGGUAAAGGCCUACCAAGGCGACGAUCAGUAGCUGGUCUGAGAGGACGACCAGCCACACUGGGACUGAGACACGGCCCAGACUCCUACGGGAGGCAGCAGUGGGGAAUUUUGGACAAUGGGCGAAAGCCUGAUCCAGCCAUUCCGCGUGAGUGAAGAAGGCCUUCGGGUUGUAAGCUCUUUCGCAAGGGAAGAAACGAUGUGGGUUAAUAGCCUGUGUUAAUGACGGUACCUUGAU
rnacentral:rRNA from 1 species